GCGGGUUUCCCCAAACUCAGGAUUAGCCGUGCGCUCGCGCUCGUUCCCGGGUUCCCUGGCCUGAGUGCUCGGGAGGCUGCGCGCACGUUGCCAGUCCGGUCCCCGCCCCCAGGCGCGCGCGGCUCCGGGUUUUCACAGCCAUGUGCUCGUUAAUGUCGAGCGCUACUGGCGGCCAGGGCGCCCUGGAGGAUGAGGAGGACCCGCCCGAGCUGUCAGACAGCGGCGACGAGGCUGCCUGGGAGGACGAGGAGGAAGCCGAUCUCCCCCGCGACAAGCAGCACACCCCCUGCCUGUUCUGUGACAGGUUAUUUACAUCUGCUGAAGAAACGUUUUCACAUUGCAAGUCUGAGCAUCAAUUUAGUAUUGAUAACAUGGUCCAUAAACAUGGGCUUGAAUUUUAUGGAUACAUCAAGCUAAUAAAUUUCAUUAGACUUAAGAAUCCUACAGUUGAGUAUAUGAAUUCCAUAUACAACCCAGUGCCUUGGGAGAAAGAAGAAUAUUUGAAGCCAGUAUUAGAAGAUGACCUUUUACUUCAAUUUGAUGUAGAAGAUCUUUAUGAACCGGUGUCAGUUCCAUUCUCAUACCCCAAUGGGCUCAGUGAAAAUCCAUCUCUUGUUGAAAAACUGAAACACAUGGAAGCCAGGGCAGUGUCUGCUGAAGCUGCAUUAGCGAGAGCUCGUGAGGACCUGCAAAGAAUGAAACAAUUUGCUCAGGAUUUUGUGAUGAACGCAGAUGUCAGAACCUGCUCGUCAUCUACCGUUGCCAUUGCAGACCUCCAGGAAGAUGAGGAUGGUGUUUAUUUCAGCUCAUAUGGGCAUUAUGGGAUACAUGAAGAAAUGCUAAAGGACAAAGUAAGAACAGAAAGCUACCGAGAUUUUAUAUACCAAAAUCCACAUAUCUUCAAAGACAAGGUAGUUUUGGAUGUUGGUUGUGGAACUGGAAUUCUCUCUAUGUUUGCAGCGAAAGCUGGAGCAAAGAAGGUUCUUGGAGUUGACCAAUCUGAAAUACUUUACCAGGCAAUGGAUAUCAUAAGACUAAAUAAACUUGAAGAUACUGUUAUACUAAUUAAAGGAAAGAUUGAAGAAGUCCAUCUUCCUGUAGAAAAAGUGGAUGUUAUUAUAUCUGAGUGGAUGGGCUAUUUUCUUCUUUUUGAGUCUAUGUUAGAUUCUGUCCUUUAUGCAAAGAACAAAUACUUGGCAAAAGGAGGAUCAGUCUACCCUGACAUUUGCACUGUCAGCCUUGUUGCAGUAAGUGAUGUGAAUAAACAUGCUGACAGAAUUGCCUUUUGGGAUGAUGUCUAUGGCUUCAACAUGUCCUGCAUGAAGAAAGCAGUUAUUCCAGAAGCUGUUGUGGAAGUUUUAGAUCCAAAGACUCUUAUUUCUGACCCUUGUAGUAUUAAGCAUAUAGAUUGCCAUAUGACAUCUGCCUCAGAUUUGGACUUUUCUUCAGAUUUCACCCUGAAAAUUACAAAGACAUCCUUGUGCACGCAAAGCUCCUGUGUCUAUGACAUUUUUGCUACUUUGUCCCCACCUGUACCCAAGUAUUGGAUGAAAGCCACUAUUUCUUUCAGCUCAGGCAGUUGCUGGUUACUUUGAUAUAUAUUUUGAGAAGAAUUGCCACUACAGGGUCGUGUUCUCUACGGGCCCCCAGAGUACCAAAACACACUGGAAACAAACAAUAUUUCUACUGGAGAAGCCAUUUUCAGUUAAAGCAGGUGAAGCCUUGAAAGGAAAGAUCACAGUCCACAAGAAUAAGAAAGACCCACGUUCUCUCAUUGUGACCCUCACAUUGAAUAAUUCAACUCAAACUUAUGGUCUCCAGUGAGAAGUCCACAGAAACACAACUAACUUGCUGUUUUUGUUGUGGGGGUAGAGGGAGGAGUUGAUGGGAGCACAUGGCUGAUGGAUCCUUUCCUAAUGAUUCUCAAUGCAGAAGAAGCAUGGUAGGAAUCUGAUGUGAUUCAGCUAAGGAAGGGAACCCACAGAUCCUAGUGAUCCACCUACAUAAUCACCUUCUGGGAAGUCUGGUUGGUGUGCUUGAGCCAAAUUCUAGCCCUACAUUGAGGUUAGCUAUAUUGAAAAUCAUGUAUAUUGACCUAAAAUUGAAAGUCUGUUAUUUUUAAUAAGUUUCUUAAUGUAAAUUUUAGACACUAGUUAAUUUUUAGUGACUUAGAUAAUGUUUAUUAAACUUGUAACUAUACACAAGGUAUUACACAUUUUAUUGCAUAUCUCCUCUCUGAGGAGGAGGAGGAGUUUUUAUUGUAUUAUUUGCUAGACUAUCAGGAUAAAAUAGAUUAAAGAGCAAGGGUAAGGGACUAAAAUAUGGAAAAGAGGGCAUCAUACAAGUCAUAUUUGAAGACAGCUUCAUUGGUUAUUCUAGUUCUGUAAUUCUCAUUUGGUAGCUUCUUCCUCCUUUGCAAAGUCAUUAGCCAUAUACUUUUCUAGUUUUGCCCAGAGAAUCUAAUUUCAAUAUAUUUAUCCUAGGUUUCAUAAAAGUUUUUAAAGGUUGGAAUAAAUAUGUACUUAUUUACUAAUAUAAUACCUUUCUUGAACUAAGUGUAUGUGCAAAGUUAAACAUGUAACAUAAUACACUUAUAUCACUAUGCAAUUGUGUCAUUUACAAUUCUUCACUCAGUUUGAAACACGAAAGAGAAAAAGUCAAUAAAAUGUAUAUACAACAGCCAUUAGCAUUAUAAAAUGAUAUUCCAACAUAUUAAGGCCUUUUAUAAAAUCACAAGCAUGUAAAACAAGUCUUACCAAAGGAAUCAUUUUGAGGAAAACAGGAAUUUUAAGGGGAGGUGGGUCAUAUGCCUCUUUUCAGUUCAACAACUGGUCCUUUUUCAAAACAAAACAUACCCAGGACAGCAUAGCAUAGUGUUGGGACACAUGAGCUUCCCCUCAGGAGUCAGUGCCUAUGUUCAUGCCUUGGCUCCAGCUCUUACUUGCUGUGUGAUCUAGGUUAUAUUCUUCAGCCUCUCCCUCCCUUCAUGAAUGUGGCAGUUCCCGAGUUAAUACAUUUCAACUACUUAGAUCAGUGCCUGACACACAGAAAACAUUCAACAAAUGCUAUGUGAUAGCUUCAUUAUACAGUCCAAAAAAUGUCUGGCAUUUACAUGAAUUAGAUUAGUUUGAGAAUUGUCAGCGCAUUAAGUACUACCCAAGUACAUGAACGAGUAGGAAGAGUACAGCAGAAAUUGAUUUUUAAUAUAACAAAAACUAUAUCAAGAAGAACUAGUUUGGUCUUUCUUAGAGAACUGGACAUCUAGCAGUGGGAAAAUUAACCCCUUCAAAUGGUGGCAUUUCAGACCUUAGUCUCUCUUUUUUUUAAAUUAAGGUAUCAUUGAUAUAUAAUCUUAGAAAGGUUUCACAUGAGCAACAUUGUGAUUUCAGCAUUCAUCUGUAUUAUCAAGUACAGGCCCAGCCCAUUUGCAGUCACUGUCCAUCAGUGUAGUAAGAUGCUAUAGAGUCAUUACUUGUCUUCUCCAUGCCAUAUAGCCUUGCCCGUGACCUACCAAAAUUGUGAGUGCUAAUUAUAAUGCCCCUUAAUCCCCUUUUCCCUCCCUCCCCACCCACCCUUCUCAACCCUUUUUGGUACCCACUAGUCCCUUCUUGUAGUCUGAGUCUACUACUGUUUUGUUCCUCCAGUUUUGCUUUGUUAUACUCCACAAAUGAAUGAAAUCAUUGGGUACUUGUC